GCAGACAUAUUCCAGCCAAUCAGCAGCAGACCCUCCCUCCCAGACCCUCCCACCUCCUGGACAGCAUCCAUUUACAUUCAUUGUGAAGCUGCAUUCUUAGUGAGCUGUCCAGGAGGUGGGAGGGUCUGGGAGGGAGGGUCUGCUGCUGAUUGGCUGGAAUGUGUCUG
rnacentral:miRNA from 1 species